AGGUAUGGCUCAAGGAUGACUGAAUCAUUCAAUUCAUUUCUUAAUUUGGAUUCCACAAAAUGUUUGAGAUGGGACAUGGCCUGGUACAGUUUAAAACUAUUUAAGAAUUAUAAUUGUCCCCAACUAGCCAGAGGGUGUGGCCACAGAUGCCCACUUAAGCGUAUAACUGUCAGAAACGAGGCUUUGCCAGGGUUACCAUAGAGGCGUCUGCUGCCUUGUGCCUGAGUUUAAACUAGCCUCUGAGAUGUUGUUCAUCUCUGCGUCUUUAUGUCUCUGUUUAUAGGUUUUCUGAUCUGGUUACCUGGGAGGAUGGGUUUGGCAUCAAUGAGAACAAAGAAAUUAGGAAAGGGAGGGAAUUUGGGUGCUGGCUAAGUUUUGUCCGUUACAGAUUGUGCUCCGUCUUUCAGUUUCAUAGACCAUUGUGAUUGCUUCUGUAUUAUAACUGUUAAUUUCUCAUGGGCUUUGUCUCUGACUUUCAUUUGGCUUUGUCUCCCCAGAGACAAAGCAUGAGCUCCUAGAAUUGUGCUUUAUUUUCAGGUGAUUCUGAGGCUCUAGUUUCCGGGACCUUCUUUCUGGAAGGAGCCACAGUAUGUUAUAGAUCAGGAUAAAAUAGAGUGGGUAAGAAAGAACUAGGACUUUGGAGUCAGACUGACCCAAAUUUAUGUCCUGGAUCCUCCCUCUACCAUGUGAUAUUGGGCAGGUUACCUAAUUUGUCUUGUGUCUGUUUUUUUCAGUACUGAAAGUGGAGAUCAUAAUAUCACUUACUUCCUCGGAUCUGGGGAUGGAUAAUCAUAAUCAUAAUAAUAGGGAAUCUUAGCUGAGGGAUUAUGUCUCAGACACUGUGUUAUUUACAUUCAUUAUUUCUUUUAAUCCUUCCUGCAAACCCGUAAUAUCUAUACUCUCAUUGUCCCCAUUGUAUCAUCCAGUAAACUGAGCUUAGAGGUUUAAAUAACUUGCCCUAAAUGACCCAGGUAGGAAUUGGCAGAGUAGGGAUUUGAACCCAGGUUGAAUGACUCUGACAGCUGAGCCCUUCAUGACUGAAAGAAAGCUCUAUAGCUUCCCAAAUAUCACUCUUUCUGUGAAGACCUGGAAGCUCUCCUAAAGACCCCCAUUCAGAUUACUCACUCCUGACAGAGUACCUGUAGCUCUUAUUACCCUGUAUUUUAUCAUUUCCAAACAUUUAUUCGACCUUUAAUUUUAGUCAUUUGUUCCUAAGUCCCUCUCCCUUCACUCAAUUAGAAACUUUUUGGGUGUGUGUGUCUUUUUAGGGCUGCACCUGCGGCACAGGGAGGUUCUCAGGCUAGGGGUCAAAUCAGAGCUACAGCUGCCGGCCUACACCACAGCCACAACCACAGCCACGCCAGAUCCACUGUUGCUGUGAACUGUAGUGUAGGUCACAGACAUGACUUGGAUCUGGUGUUUCUGUGGCUGUGGUGUAGGCCGGCUGCUAGAGCUCUGAUUCUACCCCUAGGCUGGGAUCUUCCAUGUGCUGUGGGUAUAGCCCUAAAAAGCAAAAAAAAAAAAAAAAAAAAAGUGUAUAAUUAAUAGAUACACACUGCUAUAUACAAAACAGAUAAACAAGAAGGCCCUACUAUAUAGCAUAGGGAACAAUAUACAAUAUCUUGUAAUAAUCUGAAAAAAUAGAUAUGUAACUGAAUCACUUUGCUUAUACACAUGAAACUAAUAAAACAUUAUAAAUCAACUUUACCUUAAGAAUAAUUUAAAAAACACAAACCAACAACAAAAAAGUGGUUUUAACCGCUCUUGCCUAGAAACUUGAGUAAUAAUAAUGGACUUGUUAGUAAAAAUAGUCAUGCACUGGGCAUUUCAUACUUAGCGAGGUGAUUUCAUAUGUAGUAGCACCUCUUACUCCUUUUCUUGGAGAAACAGCUCUGCGUGGCUGAAUAGGCGGAAUUCGAUGUGUUCAGUGAAAGGCUGUGCCUUGUUUUUCUCGUUUUGUCUUUUGUCUGCUCAUUCUUUCCUGAGCCUGAAUGAGUCUGGCUGCAGUUACACCCCACCAUUCAGCACUCAGUGAAGUAGCAGCCUCACCCAUCUGAAGCCAUGGGGACAUUGGCACAGAAGGCCCCCAAUUGACCCAGUAAAGGCUCAGUCACAUCCAUCUGAGCACUUGGAGGCCACCAGCCAGAACCCCAAACAUGAUGCUAACUGAAGGGUGCUCUGGUUUCUGCCCCUUCCAGCCUAAGUGCAUGGUAAUGACUGAUAUUUCCUGACCACUCACUACUUGUAGACAAUGUCUCAGACACUCACAGACCUGAGCACAGGUAAUCCUCACAACCACUCCAGGAGCCAGGAAACCUGAGUGUCUCCAUUUUACAGGUGAGGACACAGUCGAGAGGGGAUCAGAAACGAGGUCCCGUAGCCCAUCCAUCAAGGUCAGGUUUGGCUUCUAUGAUCUGGUACCACAGCCACGUCAACUCUAGCACUGUACCACCUACCCAGAAGAGGAAACUCAGGAGAGGCAGUAAAACUAUAAAAAGGAGACUUGAGAAUUGAAACAGCAGAUGGAGUUUACAUACAAUAGGCUUGCAGACUCCCACCUAGAAUGGGCCUGGGUGAUAAUUGGCAUUCAUAAUGAUAAAUGAUUUGGGUCACGAAGAGAAUACCGAAUUCUGUUCAAGAAUAUCCAUCUAUCUAUCUGGAUAUCUUUUGUGUGUGUGUGUGUGUGUGUGUGUGUGUGUGCUUUUUAGGGCUGCACCUGUGGCAUAUGGAAGUUCCCAGUUCCCAGGAUAGGGGUCAGAUUGGAGCUACAGCUGCUGGCCUGCACCACAGCCACAGCCACGCAGAAUCCGAGCCACAUCUGUGACCUAAACCACAGCUCAUGGCAAUGCUGGAUCUUCAACCCACAGAGUGAGGCCAAGGAUUGAACCCACAACGUCAUGGUUCUUAGUCAGAUUCGUUUCUGCUGUGCCACAACGGGAACUCCUAGAUAUCUUUUAAAGAAGCUAGAGAAAAGAUAACAUGUUUUUAGUGAUGUAUAUUUAAAAAGAUGAAAAUACACACAGUUUGGUAAACCCCUAGGGAUAUGGAGACGAGGCAGCUUUCUAGAGCGGAUUCUUUCUCAGGAGUUGAUGUUUUCUUGGCUUUCUGCCUGCUCCUGGCUUUUAGAGUCUAGUUCCCUGGAUGCCUCCUGCAGAACAAAGCUUGUAGACCCAUGGACUGUCCGUACCUCCUCCCUGAACUCUUGCUCCAAAAAAAGAUGACAAGAAUUUAUGAAUCACCCUACACUGUGAGUGGGGUGCCACACACUGGCUCGACUCUGUGGCUUUGCUUUUACGGUGGCAGGUAGAGAGGGAAUGCAGUGCAGUAAAUACCAGUCCUUUUGUAAACCCCGUGAACGGGGAACGGAGGUGGUCAGGAGAUUGGAGUGGGAGAGAGGGGGAGAACACGUCUUUGUCUGGAAGGGAAAUGCCCUGACUGUAUCCCUCCAGGUCUGUUGAGGAUCUCCUGGAUGAGAAGGAAAUUCCCUUCCUUGCUUUCCACUUUCCCCCAUCCCCUGUAUUUUUCCUCCCUUUGUAGAAUAACAUAGAAUAAAAAAGCCCAGCAGAAAGGGAGCUGCGAUGCUGUCGUCCCUGGCGUUGAUGUUAUUUAUUUUCCUCAGUUGCUGCUCUGGAAGCCCGGAGUUGACAGAGCGGUUUUGUAGAAUAGAAACAUUAUAGACUGUUACUGUCAGAGUGUUAAAUGUGAUGGAUAGAGAAAUAGAGGCGAAGGAGGGGACUUAAUACUGAGAGCCAGGGUGCUCAUGGGAAAAUAAACCAUCCGCAUAUAAGAAAUGAAUGAGGUAAUGUGGCGGGAGGUAAUGGGCUUUCGCAACACGCCGGAACAGAGAUGCUUAUUACAGGGUGUGCUUAACCCUUGGCAUGCUGAUUUCCCUUUGUGGGUUCCAGGGCUCUCCGCUGCGUCCCUCUGUGUGAGCACGUGCGUGGCUUUUCUUCAGGCAGGGCAGCAGGCGUGCGCAGAGGAGUGGAGACCAAAUGUGUGCUUCCUAACUCGGUAUUAGCAGCCUUACAUCAGAAAGCCUUGGCAGCCCCCACGGGACUCGGAGUCCCUGGGGCUGCAUGAGACAAAAUGUGCUGUGAUUGCUGGGGUUAGGGAGCAGCAGCGAGGGUAUGUAGAGGGGAGCUGGAGGCUCUGUUGAUUCCUCCACUGGAGACUUCCGUGGGGUGCUUUGCUUCCUUGGGAGGGUUGAUGCAUGUGACUCGGCUUCCUUAGUGGCUCCCGAAGAGUCCCUGCCACUUUAUGUAGACAAUACUUGGCUGUUCCUCCACUGCCAAGAAUGUGGUGAUUCUUCUGUAAGGUGGGAGGGAGAGGAGCAGACAGUGGUCAUCUUUAUUACCUCCUUGUCAAGUGCAGCGCAUACUGUAGGCGUAAUAAAGGCAAGUGUGCCGGGGGGGCGGGUAGGGGGAGACCUGGGCUGGGACGGAAUGUUGGACAGGGUCCCACCAACCUAGGUGAGAUGGAGUGACGUCAACUGAAAGGUGGUCAAGUUCAGUGAGCAAGGUGCUUUCCCUGGGUGUUGGCUUCCCAUGACCUUUCCCAUCCAUCUUUGAGUCCUGGGAGUGGCCAGCCCUGCAUCCUCUCCAGGACAAGCAUUUAGUAAACCGUGAGGACUCAGUUGAUACGGGCUGUCAUUGAGCUCUGGUGAUAAGCUGCUAGGUGACCUCAAUCAAGUCAUUUACCCCUCUCUGGGUGUUAGUUUUCUUGUCUAUAAUGUGGGGAUAGUAACACCUCAUAGAUUUAUUAUCAGGAUUAAACAUACCCAUGCUAGUGAAAGUGUAGGCGGACUCUAAAACAUGAUGCAAGCACCUUUGUUUCCAUAGUUAGUAAUAGAACAAUACCUGUGUGUUAAGUGAUAAGGUAAGGAACUCACCCAAGAAAUUAAUGUUUUUAAGCCAGCAGCUUCACCUACUUUUACCCAAAUGGUGCUUUUACGCAAACAGAUUCUUGUCUGAUGUUAAAAUGUGUCUCUUUGCUUUUAGUGGUGGUCACAUCCGCAAGGACACCGUCCUGGCUGGAUGUUUGUAACGCUGGCGCUGGGUCAGUGAGAACUCUCAGUGCUCUUGCAGGAGACGUUAUCUCCUAAGAGCUGUGCUAUUCCUCCCUCUCUUGUUCAGAAGUUUUAUACAAUCACUGAAUUCUGAAUUCAGAAUCGCUGACCUUUAGUCAGUGUUCAUCCUUGGGUCUGAUUUAGUUUGGAAAGUGCUUCUUGCUGAAGCACAAACCUCACCUCUUGCAACUUUUUUUUUUUUUUCUAAUUUUUUUUUUUGGUAUUUUAUUGCCAUUUCUUAGGCCACUCCCACGGCAUAUGGAGGUUCCCAGGCUAGGGGUCUAAUUGGAGCUGUAACUACCAGCCUACACCAGAGCCACAGCAGCUCGGGAUCUGAGCCGCAUCUGCGGCCUAUACCACAGCUCAUGGCAACGCUGGAUUGUUAACCCCCUGAGCAAGGGCAGGGAUCGAACCUGCAACCUCAUGGUUCCUAGUUGGAUUCGUUAACCACUGCGCCACGAUGGGAACUCCUCUCGCAACUUUUGAAUCUUUCCUGGGACUCUUCCAUAAAAGGUGUUCCUUAGUCCAACCUCAUCCUUUGAGAUCUCGCUGCUGCCUCUGAGGUCAUGUCACUAGGAGCCCUUUCCUUAAGAUGGUCCACAUUUUGAGCAUUAUUUAGUUGUCCUUCAGCUUUCAGAGAUCCUCAGCAUUUCCACGGGAGCAGAAAGACUAGGUCAACUGUGAUCUGGACUGUGUUCCAGGUCCUAAGUUAGCAUGUGGUGCUCACUGUGAGGUGAGGGGACUAGUCUUCUUCUUCUUCUUCUUUUUUUUGGCUGUACUCAGAGCAUGUGGAAGUUCCCAGGCCAGGGAUUGAAUGUGAGCCACAGCAGCGACCUGAGCUACUGCAGUGACAAUGCGGGAUGCUUAACCUGUUGCGCUGUAAGAGAACUCGGUGAGGGGCUAGUCUUAUCUCCCUGCUUCCUUUCCUGUUUCUUUUCCUCACUCACAGGUCCAGAGCUUCCAGUCUGAUUGAUCUCCUUGCUGUCCCAUUGCUCCUCCUGGGAAGCUUUUUUUGUCCUCUAGGUAUAUCUAGUCUCUAUCCAUGCUUCAAACGUUGCUUUGGCUGACUUUUUUCCAGUAACUACAGCUCGCAUUGAAUCUUCUGAUUCACAUUCCUGUAUGUAACAGCUGGCUACAUACAGUUUUUGGUGUUCCUCUGAUUGUUUCACAUGAGAAUAUGUUGUCUUUCCAAGGAUAUUAAAAUUUUCUCCAAAAAAGGGCUAUGUCCUGUAUAUAUUUUUUCGUAUAAUUGGCACCCCAUUGCCUCUUUCUUCAAUCAUUUGUCAUCUAUUUUGUUAUCAUGCUUCUAUAAUAUAGAGCUUUCUUUUGCUUAUUUCUGGUUUUUCUCACUAGACUAGGAGUUCCUUAUAGAAAGAGGCAUCAUCUUAGGUGUCUUUGGUUCUCCCAAGGCAUCUAGUAUAUAGCUUCUCUUAUUAUUUCUUUACCUUAUUGGCCAUUUUUAACAGAAAAGUUCUCUUCCUGCCCUUGUCUAGUUUACAGGCUCAGACAUCCUUACAUUUGGCCUUAAAUGGAAUAUGAAUGAUAUCUCUGAGGAAGUGAAAAAUGGUUGCAACUGUGACAGAGUCUUGUCUCUCACUAAAUAAUAUAGUUGGCACAUUUGAGUACGAGUAGGUCUGAGGAUUAGAUGCAGUGAUGCCUCUAAAGAGUCUAGCAUGGUGUGUGACACACAGUAGGCAUCAGAACAUGUUAGUUCCAUAGUAGUAAUGAUAGUUGAGAAGUUGUAACACUAGUAAUAAUGACCGAUGCCCACUGAUCUGCCUUUUUUGCUCUGUUUAUAUUUCGGUUGAGUUCCACAUAUAAUCAUGUAACGGAAAGACUGUGGAAGCUGGGGAACAGUAACAUGUGAGUCUAAAUGUGAGUCUGCCUUGGUCUAGUGGGAUCCUUCCACUCCUCCCUUGUUCUAAAGGCUGGGACCCUACCAUAGUGUCUUCCUGAGCGCUUUUGCAGUCCCAGGAUAUUACCUUCAAAUAUGUCCCUAUAAAGGCCAGCUCCUUAUGAUAUCACUUACAUCUAGAAUCUAAUAUAUAGCACAAAUGAACCUUUCCCCAGAAAAGAAAUUCAUGGACUUGGAGAACAGACUUGUGACUGCCAAGGGGGAGAGAGAGGCAGUAGGAUGGACUGGAAUCUGGGGUUAAUAGAUGCAAACUAUUGCCUUUAGAAUCGAUAAGCAGUGAGAUACCGCUGUAUAGCAAUGGGAACCAUAUCUAGUCACUAAUAAUGGAGCAUGAUUGAGGAUGAUGUGAGAAAAAGAAUUUGUGUGUGUGUGUGUGUGUGAGUGGGUCACUAUGCUGUACAGUAGAAAUUGACAGAACACUGUAAAUAAACUACAAUAGAAAAAAAAAAAAAAA
rnacentral:lncRNA from 1 species